AACUUCCUAGUAUAUCAAGUACUUCCUCCUUCCAAGUGGAAAGUCUAAAUAAGUUUAGGGAAGUUA
rnacentral:tRNA from 1 species